rnacentral:rRNA from 1 species
AGGGUUUGAUCCUGGCUCAGAUUGAACGCUGGCGGCAGGCCUAACACAUGCAAGUCGAGCGGUAACAGGGAUAGCUUGCUAUCUGCUGACGAGCGGCGGACGGGUGCGUAACACGUAGGAAUCUACCCAGUAGCGGGGGAUAGCCCGGAGAAAUCCGGAUUAAUACCGCAUACGCCCUAAGGGGGAAAGCAGGGGAUCUUCGGACCUUGCACUACUGGAUGAGCCUGCGUCGGAUUAGCUAGUUGGUGGGGUAAAAGCCUACCAAGGCAACGAUCCGUAGCUGGUCUGAGAGGAUGAUCAGCCACACUGGGACUGAGACACGGCCCAGACUCCUACGGGAGGCAGCAGUGGGGAAUAUUGCACAAUGGGCGCAAGCCUGAUGCAGCCAUGCCGCGUGUGUGAAGAAGGCUCUAGGGUUGUAAAGCACUUUCAGCGAGGAGGAAAGGGGUUGAGCUAAUACCUCAGCUCUGUGACGUUACUCNCAGAANAAGCAUCGGCUAACUCCGUGCCAGCANC